rnacentral:rRNA from 1 species
GAUGAACGCUAGCGGCAGGCUUAACACAUGCAAGUCGAGGGGCAGCACGGAAGUGGUAACACUUUUGGUGGCGACCGGCGGACGGGUGCGUAACGCGUAUGCAACCUACCCACCACUUGGGGAUAACCUUGCGAAGGUAAGACUAAUACCCAAUGAUACCUCAAGAAGACAUCUGAAUGAGAUUAAAGAUUUAUCGGUGAUGGAUGGGGAUGCGUCUGAUUAGCUUGUUGGCGGAGUAACGGCCCACCAAGGCGACGAUCAGUAGGGGUUCUGAGAGGAAGGUCCCCCACAUUGGAACUGAGACACGGUCCAAACUCCUACGGGAGGCAGCAGUGAGGAAUAUUGGUCAAUGGGCGAGAGCCUGAACCAGCCAAGUAGCGUGCAGGAUGACGGCCCUAUGGGUUGUAAACUGCUUUUAUAAGGGAAUAAAGUGAGUCUCGUGAGGCUUUUUGCAUGUACCUUAUGAAUAAGGACCGGCUAAUUCCGUGCCAGCAGCCGCAGUAA